UACGUAGGGGGCAAGCGUUGUCCGGAUUUAUUGGGCGUAAAGAGCUCGUAGGCGGCUUGUCGCGUCGACUGUGAAAACCCGCGGCUCAACUGUGGGCUUGCAGUCGAUACGGGCAGGCUAGAGUUCGGUAGGGGAGACUGGAAUUCCUGGUGUAGCAGUGAAAUGCGUAGAUAUCUGGAGGAACACCGGUGGCGAAGGCGGCAUCCUGGACCGACACUGACGCUGAGGAGCGAAAGCCAGGGGAGCAAAGCGGG
rnacentral:rRNA from 1 species